rnacentral:lncRNA from 1 species
UUCACUUACCGAAUGAAGCUGCAAGACAAACCGAUGACCAGAAGAGGCAUCUUAUCAGUUGUCAAUUCCAUCUACGACCCCCUCGGCUUUCUGGCCCCGGUCAUCUUGCCAGCUAAACUACUGUUGAAAGAACUCUGUAAAGAACAACAUGGGUGGGAUGAAGACGUCGGUGAGAAGCAUGCUGAACAUUGGAGAAAGUGGAUUGAAGAUGUUACUCACCUCUCCAACUUUCGCGUGAACAGGUGUUUGAAGCCUUUGGAUUUAGGAUGCACUGCAGCAGCGCAGUUGCACCAUUUUUCAGAUGCCUCUGAGUACGCAUAUGGCACUGUGUCUUAUCUGUUAUUGGAGAAUACAGAAGGCAAGAAACAUUGUGCGUUCCUUAUGGGAAAAUCAAGAGUAGCCCCACUCAAGUUGAUCACUAUCCCAAGACUUGAGCUGACCGCAGCGGUUGUGGCAGUGAAGGUAGACAAGAUGCUACAGCAAGAACUUAAGAUCCCACUGCAACAAUCCAUCUUCUGGACAGAUAGCACUACAGUGCUCAGAUACAUCGACAGCGAAACAGCCCGUUUCAAGACAUUCGUCGCUAACAGAAUUGUACUCAUCAGAGAAGCAACCAAGCCGUCACAAUGGAAGCAUGUUAGGACGACAGAGAAUCCUGCAGAUCAAGCCAGCAGAGGCCUGAAGGCAAAGAACUUGGUCCAAGGGGGAACCUGGAUCAACGGGCCAAACUUUUUGUUGAACAGUGAAAGUGACUGGCCAGAGCAGCCAGACAGAAAAGAAGAAAGCCUUCCAAACGAUCCGGAAGUCAAGAACAAAGUCACUGUCAACGCAAUCAAGGUCAAAGAAGAUAUGGAACCAUUGAACGAACUGAUAAACUACUACUCAGAUUGGCAUAAAUUGAAAAGAUCAGUAGCCUGGAUUUUGAAAGUAAAGGAAACUCUGUGGAAGCUGAAGGAAGAAAGAAAAGAGUUAUUACAAACAAUCCAUCAAACUGAAAAGGACCCUGAAAAGCAAAAGUCAAAAUUAGAACAACACAUGGAGAAAUACAAAAGAACAAUAGGAAAUAAAUCACUUACCUUGGAUGAUUUAGUAGCUGCGGAAUCAGAGAUAAUCCGAUGCAGCCAGAGACAGCAGUUCAGAGAAG